rnacentral:rRNA from 1 species
UGGGGAAUCUUGCACAAUGCGCGAAAGCGUGAUGCAGCAACGCCGCGUGCGGGAAGAAGGCCUUAGGGUUGUAAACCGCUUUCAGUUGGGACGAGGCUUCGGUCGUUAAUAGCGGUUUGGAGUGACGGUACCUUCAGAAGAAGCGCCGGCUAACUACGUGCCAGCAGCCGCGGUAAUACGUAGGGCGCGAGCGUUGUCCGGAAUCAUUGGGCGUAAAGCGCGUGUAGGCGGCUGAGUAAGUCUGCUGUGAAAGUCCAGGGCUCAACCCUGGAAUGUCGGCGGAUACUGCUCAGCUGGAGUACGGGAGGGGCGAGUGGAAUUCCUGGUGUAGCGGUGGAAUGCGCAGAUAUCAGGAGGAACACCUAUGGCGAAGGCAGCUCGCUGGAACGUUACUGACGCUGAGACGCGAAAGCGUGGGGAGCAAACA